AUGAAUAAGAUCAAGAGUGGGAAUGAGCUAGUGGAAGAAGUAAGGAAGAUUGAGAAGAACAUCAACACUGGCAGCACUAUUUCUUCACAGCUAGAGCUGAGUAUUUCUGGGAUAUCCCUUGAUACAUGUGAGGUCCCAACACCUUCACAUUCAGCUGAGCAAGAUAGCGAGAGUCCAGAGGAAGUGAGACCUCGAUUUGAAGAAGAUUUACAAGAAUACAAGGAACAAGAUGAUCUAGAGUUUGAACAACCAAGUGAUCAAGUUGAAGACCCAAUGUCUACCACUCCCGAAGAAGUUGAAGAAGCUGCUGUAGAUGAAGAUGAAGAACCUGAGAUUCAUUUGCCUAUUGUCAUACAAGAGUGUGAUGUGUCAGGUUUUUGCUUGUGCACGAAUCAAUACAUGCUGACCAGGUUCGAGGUGACAUUCCUUGGGACCCCGGUGGACUCAAAGCAUGGUGAUGAGGAGAAGCAGGGGGCACACACGAAGAAGAGUGAAGCUGGAGCAUCCAUGAAGAAGCAAAGGAGAAGAGCUGCAGUU
rnacentral:rRNA from 1 species